CAGUGAAUCUUUGGAUGGCUUUUCGCAUGAUGUCCUGUCUCACCUCCUGAAUGACCCUGUUAUUUUUGAAAAGAGCGAAAUGAUGGAAUUGGAGCUGUCUCCCACAUCUCCAAUACCUCAUAUCCAGACAGAGCACAGUUACUCCCUUAUUGGUGAUUCCUUUUCCCAGUUCCCAGUAACAAAUUCCUCUUCAGAAGAACCAUUGACCGAAGGCAAUACCAUGUCCAGGAAACAAUGCCCACAUUCAUCCAUAAUGUGUCAUGUUUAAAAUCUGAGAAAAAUUUCUGCCUCACACAUGUAUCAGUUUCCGUGAUACAAGGGAGAUCAGAAGCCGUCACAAGUGUUUGUUUACAGUAAAAUCAAUAUGAAUGAAUGUUUCAUUUACCGUUGUCCUGCCACUACCUGCAGUAAUGGAGUU